GAUGAACGCUGGCGGCGUGCCUAACACAUGCAAGUCGAGCGAAGCGGGGACGGGUGAGUAACACGUGGAUAACCUCCUCUAAGACUGGGGUAACCUCGGGAAACCGGUGCUAAACCCGAAACUUACCGAUUGAUCCGCGCUGCAUUAGCUAGUUGGUAAGGUAACGGCUUACCAAGGCAACGAUGCAUAGCCGAGCUGAGAGGGUGAUCGGCCACACUGGAACUGAGACACGGUCCAGACUCCUACGGGAGGCAGCAGUAGGGAAUCUUCCGCAAUGGGCGAAAGCCUGACGCAGAAACGCCGCGUGAGUGAAGAAGGUCUUCGGGUCGUAAAACACUGUUAUUAGGGAGGCGGUACCUGAAGAAGAAGCCACGGCUAACUACGUGCCAGCAGCCGCGGUAAUUC
rnacentral:rRNA from 1 species